UACGUAGGGUGCGAGCGUUGUCCGGAAUUAUUGGGCGUAAAGAGCUUGUAGGCGGUCUGUCGCGUCUGCUGUGAAAACUCGAGGCUCAACCUCGAGACGUCGGCGGAAACCAUCUGGCUAGAGUCCGGAAGAGGAGAGUGGAAUUCCUGGUGUAGCGGUGAAAUGCGCAGAUAUCAGGAAGAACACCCGUGGCGAAGGCGGCUCUCUGGGACGGUACUGACGCUGAGACGCGAAAAGCGUGGGGAGCGAACAGG
rnacentral:rRNA from 1 species